UUUCCGUGUUGAUAUAGUCAUAUCAACACGAGUGGAAUUGGGAAAACGAGAAAUUGUAUGGAAACAAGACGCCCGAAGGGCGAAGUGUUUUCAUAUAAUUUCGAGUUUUCCCAACUUCCACGAGUGUUGAUAUAACUAUAUAUCAAUAUGGAAA